rnacentral:lncRNA from 1 species
GUCCUUGCUGAAAUCAUAAACCACAAAUUAUUUUUCAUCAAAAUAGAAAAAAAACAGUAUCAACUCUCGGCCAUCAUUUUCUACUUUUAAAAAAAACCCUAAUUGAAAAAAUACCACGAUUUGUCCCACGAAAUCCCCACGUUUUCCCCUUUCCUUCUUUAGAGUAAACUCAGGUUUUCUAUUUUACUAUAAACCAGUUCAAUAUAUAUAAGUAUGGCUGACCAAGCCAAACAUCCAAGUCCCACAU